UCUUACUUCAUUGAGCCAUUUUUUCUUUCUUUCUUUUUUUCUAUUAUAUUAUUAUUAUUAUUGUAUUUUUCACAACACCAUUCCUCUGUUUUCUUCUAAUCAAUCAUGUUCUGUUCUUCUGACUUCUUUGGUUUCUAGUUCAAUUCCGAUAUGUUAUGAUUACUCAUCAGAUUCUGUUUUUUGUCUUGUGAAAUUUAUAGAUAUAUUCUGUUAUUUUCAUUACCAAAAACAUUGUCAUUUGAAGAUUUUCUGUUAUUGGCUACAUAGCAAAAGCUGCAAGUGAGUUUCAUUUGAAUUUGCCUUUAAGAAAAAGGGUUGCAAGUGAAGAAUUGAAGAUAUAUGAUGGAGAGUGGUGGAGGAGGAGGAGGAGAAGGGUAUGACGGGGUGGUGAUGACGAUGACAAGAGACCCGAAGCCGAGGCUCAGGUGGACAACCGAUCUUCACGACCGGUUCGUCGACGCUGUCACAAAGCUUGGUGGCCCUGACAAGGCAACUCCAAAGUCUGUUCUAAGGUUAAUGGGAUUGAAAGGUUUGACAUUAUAUCAUUUGAAGAGCCAUUUACAGAAGUAUAGACUUGGACAAGUACAGGCUCGAAAACAAAAUGAAGAACAAUACAAAGAGAAUAACAGAUGUUCGUAUGUAAAUUUCAGUAACCAUUCUUCAGGGACUAAUACAACUUAUGGAGGUGAUAAUGAAGGAAGAGAAAUCCCAAUAGCAAAAGCACUAAGGCAACAAAUUGAAGUUCAAAGAAGAUUGGAAGAACAACUUGAGGUACAAAAGAAAUUGCAAAUGAGAAUAGAGGUUCAAGGGAAGUAUUUGCAGGCAGUGUUAGAGAAAGCACAAAGUAGUUUUUCUCAAGAUGGACAAGGCAAUGUUGAAGCAUCAAAAGCUCAAUUAGAUGAAUUCAACUUAGCUUUGUCAAAUUUCAUGGAAAAUAUGAAUAAUAAAGAUAGUAAAGAAAACAUAGUAGGCAUGAGUGAAUAUUAUGAUAAGAAUCAUAGCUCAUCUUUCAAUUAUCAAGAAGUACUAGGGGAAGAAGAAAAGAAGGAUCUAAAACCUCAAGUUGAAGGGGGUUCAACACAGCUAGACUUAAACAUCAAGGGUAAUGAAGUUGCAUAUGCAAAUGGAGCUGAAAUGGAAUCAAAGAUGGUUUCAUAUAGGUGGAGAUCUUUCUCGUCUUCUUCUUCACUAUUAGCAACCAUAAAGUAGAGAAAUUGUGCUGCUUCUAGACAAAUCAAUAGUGGAAGACUCAUCUACAUGAUAGAGAGUAGGGCUAGACAAAUUGAAGAUAUCCGACCCAAUCUGAUCGACCCGCUAAAGAAAAAUGAUGAUUUGGUGGUUGUAACGGGUGGGGCGCGUGACGUGGACGAUUUUGAUUGGGUCUGUACAAAUGGGUUCGUAAGUUUUGUUUUUUCCUUCUUGCUCUCUUUCACUUUCUCGUUUUCAUAUAUGAAACUCGAAACCUAGUCUCCUUUCCAUCUUAAAUCUCCACCUUUCUCUAUUACGUUUUAAAUUUCAGUAGAGUUUUACAUUCUUAAACUUAUACAAACAAUGAUUUGGUUGUGUUUUUCUUUGUAUUCUAAACCGUACAACGUUUGAAGUGAAUGACUGAAAAUAGAUGAACAAGAUUUGAAAGACACUUAAAAUUUGAAGGUUUGGAGACUAAUAGAGCAACACCAUUUUGAAGAAAGUUCGUUUUGGUUGUGAAAGCUGGUGAUUCUGAAUUACAACCCCUUAUUAAUUUGUUGUCCCAUUUAAAUUUUUCAACUUUUAGGGUUGUAAUUUAAAAUAUUCACAAUUGCAUUUUGUAUAUCAUUUAGGUGUAAAGGUUGUGUUGUGAUCUUAUAUGAUUCAUAUCAUGUUUGUUGCCAACAAAUUGAUGUUUUCCUUGCUAAGACUGAAAAUUUAUAAAUA